rnacentral:lncRNA from 1 species
CAGAAGUGCACAUGAGAGCUGCAGAUCUCCACCUGCAAAGAGUGCUGUUUGUGUGACUCACUUUUUCUAACCACAAAGCAUCUGAAAUACUUCUUGUAGCUGUAUUUUACUCGUGUUAGGAAGAUUAUUUGAAUGCGAGCUUUUAAUCACUAUCAUUUCAGAUCAAAAGCCAAAUCUUUGGUGUUUGUGAGGAAAAAAAAUGCCCAGCAGCCGUCCUGCAGCACAUCAGUGCUUUGUCUGACUGCGGUGUGAAGGUGUUGCUCGGGACCAGGGACACUUGGACUGGUUGGUGCUACACACUCUUAGGCUACACCAUGAACAGCCUUCAUUUUCCCCUUAAGGAAUGCUGACCUUCCAGCUCCUUCCCACUGCUCCCUGUACCAAGGAGACACUUUGUUGAUGCGAGGAGUGGUGAGCAUAUUGAAGACUGACAGGAGAAAUCGCUUUGUGUCUCAAAGCACACACUGGGCCCAGCAGUCCUUGGUGGUGACUGGCAGCCUGGAGACGUCAGGCAGCAUCAGGACCCA